GGGAUAACUACAUUUUGUUCCUCGAAGGUUGCCCUGUAAUAGUGGGUGGGAUAAAACUUGCAUUCCCUGUGAUAGGCUUGCUGUCGUCUGUGUUGUUUCAGCGGUUGUAAAGCUGCGCUGAGAGUGAUCUCGACAAUUAGAGUAGACCAGAGCGCGUUGAAGAAAAAAACUAUAGGAAGACUUCUUGAAAAUAUUUCUUUGGGAGUCCUUUGCACCUCUAGCUAAGGAUUUCACUAUUUAAGUUAAAGGCAAGGGCAUAUUUGGAAAAGAGGCUAGGCUAUUGCUUCGUGGUUCGCAGUUGGGAGAUCCGAAUACACCUGACCUAUCUAUCUACCUAACGUUACCCCAGCAGCGGUUCCCACUGUCUUUAUUUGAUGCUGUUGGAGUGAAAUAACGACAUUCUGAUACUGCGUUCCUGAAAGCAAUUCUUCCCGAAGAAAUAAAUCCCACUGCGGUGAAGUAUCCAAACAGCACUGAAGAACCAUCCGGUGAUAGCCUGUGUGGCAAGUUUACGCAGCUCUCCAUACGCGUGGUGUCUCCCAACUCACACCCCCAAGGGAAGAAAAAGGCAUAUUUCCUGUGGGCCACAUCCGAUGGUAGUCAGGACGGCCUGAUAUUUGUAUGGGUCUUUCUCAUCAUCCAAAGCUGCUGAGGCAGUCUCAUCGCCCUGGGUGGACCACACAGACCCAUCAACUCUAACAGACAGCCAGUCCACUUGCCUCCUGACUACACCGCUAACAUCAAAGGUACCACAUAAGAAAUCACUCUCUCCUCUCCCUUUAAGCCUUUCAUCAUCCAGUCUAAUGUAUCACUGGCUCAAUUAGCUGAAUGUCAUACUUUUCUCUGUUUUUUUUACCAUCGAGUCUUUA
rnacentral:lncRNA from 1 species